GAUUGAUUCUCAGUGUAAUUUUUUUGGGUUGUCCUUUUAGAUAGCUUUCGUAAUGAUUGCCAUCUUUGUUUCUUCGGCUUCCUCUAGUUGUCCCUCUCUGGUUUUGUAACAUUGUUGUUGUUUACUAGGACCUCAAAGGCCCACCCCUCACAAGAUUAAAGGCAUCUGUAUAUUCUGAAGUCUGAACUAUCCCGGUAAAUUUCAACCAGAUGAAUAAAACCAGCUCUGCUCGCUUUCUGCAUUCCAAUACCACCCAGGUUAGACUACUUCCCAGGCCAACGAAAAACAUCAGUUUGGCACAUAAGAGAGAAAUUUUACCUAUGUUAUGCAAUCACCUAUGUUAAAUCAUUUUCUAUCUAUAUUCUUAUCUGAGACUGAUUAGUGGCUGGUAAUGGUAGAAGGGGCAUUUAAAUUUUACCUAAAAUAUGAAGAGAAUCCGCACAUGCCACAACAGCUAGGGAACCAAGUGGAAGAAACUUUAACAAUUUAUCAGCCACCCUCACCUUUCUAUUCUCAUCCAUUAGU
rnacentral:misc_RNA from 1 species